rnacentral:rRNA from 1 species
GAUGCCUACGGGACGCAGCAGUGAGGAAUAUUGGUCAAUGGGCGCGCGCCUGCACCCGCCCCGUCUCUUUCCUUCUUCCUUCCCUCCGGGUUGUAAACUUCUUCUAUCACGUAAUAAAGUGAGGCACGUUUGCCUUUUUGUAUGUACUUUAUGAAUAAGGAUCGGCUAACUCCGUGCCAGCAGCCGCGGUAAUACGGAGGAUCCGGUCGUUAUCCGGAUUUAUUGGGUUUAAAGGGAGCGUAGAUGGGUUGUUAAGUCAGUUGUGAAAGUUUGCGGCUCAACCGUAAAAUUGCAAUUGAUACUGG